rnacentral:rRNA from 1 species
GACAGAGGUCCCGAGCGUUAGGCGGAAUCACUGGGCUUAAAGCGUGUGUAGGCGGCGGCCUAAGUACCUUGUGAAAUCCCACGGCUCACCCGUGGAACUGCUCGGUAUACUGGGUCGCUUGAGCCACUUAGGGGCUACCGGAACAAAUGGUGGAGCGGUGAAAUGCGUAGAUAUCCUGAGGAACACCGGUGGCGAAAGCGGCGCGCUGGAUCCCUUCUGACGCUGAGGCGCGAAAGCCAGGGGAGCAAACGGG